rnacentral:rRNA from 1 species
AACGCUGGCGGCAUGCUUCAGACAUGCAAGUCGAACGAGAUCUUCGGAUCUAGUGGCGCACGGGUGAGUAACGCGUGGGAACCUACCUUUCAGUUCGGGAUAACAGUUGGAAACGACUGCUAAUACCGUAUACGCCCUCCGGGGGAAAGGUCAGCCGCUGAAAGAGGGGCCCGCGUCUGAUUAGCUUGUUGGUAGGGUAAAAGCCUACCAAGGCUACGAUCAGUAGCUGGUCUGAGAGGAUGAUCAGCCACACUGGGACUGAGACACGGCCCAGACUCCUACGGGAGGCAGCAGUCGGGAGUAUUGGACAAUGGAGGAAACUCUGAUCCAGCAAUGCCGCGUGUGUGAUGAAGGCCCUAGGGUUGUAAAGCACUUUCAACGGUGAAGAUGAUGACGGUAGCCGUAGAAGAAGCCCCGGCUAACUUCGUGCCAGCAGCCGCGGUAAUACGAAGGGGGCGAGCGUUGUUCGGAAUUAUUGGGCGUAAAGGGCGCGCAGGCGGUUUGGAUAGUUAGACGUGAAAGCCCUAGGCUUAACCUAGGAACUGCGUUUAAUACUGCCAAACUAGAGAACUAGAGAGGAUAGCGGAACUCCCAGUGUAGAGGUGAAAUUCGUAGAUAUUGGGAAGAACAUCAGUGGCGAAAGCGGCUGUCUGGCUAGUUUCUGACGCUGAGGCGCGAAAGCGUGGGGGAGCAAACAGGAUUAGAUACCCUGGUAGUCCACGCCGUAAACGAUGUGUGCUAGAUGUUGGAAAGGUUACCUUGCAGUGUCGCAGCUAACGCGUUAAGCACACCGCC